GUCAGUGGCUGAGCUGUGUAUGCAGGCUGCGUAGCUCCGUGCUGUCAGUGGCUGAGCUUUGUAUGCAGGCUGCGUAGCUCCGUGCUGUCAGUGGCUGAGAUGUGUAUGCAGGCUGCGUAGCUCCGUGCUGUCAGUGGCUGAGCUGUGUAUGCAGGCUGCGUAGCUCCGUGCUGUCAGUGGCUGAGCUGUGUAUGCAGGCUGCGUAGCUCCGUGCUGUCAGUGGCUGAGCUUUGUAUGCAGGCUGCGUAGCUCCGUGCUGUCAGUGGCUGAGAUGUGUAUGUAGGCUGCGUGGCUCCGUGCUGUACGUGGCUGAGCUGUG